rnacentral:lncRNA from 1 species
AACAGCUCCAGGGCCUCCAGUCCUGGGCUGGGGCACAAAGCAAGCAAAGGGUGGCCAGGGGACAGGGGACUGAAGGACUCUGUUAGAGUGUGGUUGAUGCCUGCAGCAGAGCACAGACCCUGCAACUAACCGUCUUCCUCCUCUGCCUCAGAGCAAGAUUCAUUCAUAUUGUUGUGGCUGAGAGGCUCUCCCUCCCCGUCUCUUGUCUCCCUGCCUGCUGUGUGCCUUGAAUAUUGAUGGAGAUCUGACUCUCCCUGCCGAAGGAAGCCCAGAGCCAGCUCACACUAGGAGGACCUGCAAAUGCAUCAAGCGAGGUCAGAAGGCGUGCAAGUAUUUUCUACCCUGAGCAGGCUCGACACAUCAGGUGCAGCUCAUGCUGCAGUGAGACAAACAGACAGCACCGCUGCUGGCUCCUGAGUGCUCCCGGGAGAGCUGUUUCCACACCAGCCUGGAAAUUGCCUGCUCUUUGCUCAUUUAUUCAAGAAGGUCAGACCGAAUAAAAGCCAUACGCAUUUAAAAUGAGACUCAGGUGCCAGAUUUAGAGUCCUGCCCAGGGAGGAGGCAGCAGAAGAGGCACUCCAACCGUGGUGAGAUCUCAGAGAAAUUCAGCACACACAAGGAGCGGCUCUCUGGAGUAGCUAAGCCAGCACCUCCUGCCUUCCUUCAGGAGCGAGAAACCCUCACCGCGGGCAGCGUGGAAAAUCCUUGGCUGGUCAUUCUUGCAAUCAACAGAGUACUCCACCUCCUAACUUCCAACCUUGGCUUAAAGAGAGUGCGAACUUCUCAUGGGGCACAUUAAAAUCUUUCC